AUUGAACGCUGGCGGCAUGCUUUACACAUGCAAGUCGAACGGGGGUGGGGGCAACUCCACCUCAGUGGCGGACGGGUGAGUAAUGCAUCGGAACGUAUCCUGAAGUGGGGGACAACCCAGCGAAAGCUGGGCUAAUACCGCAUAUUCUCGGGAGAGGAAAGCAGGGGACCUGAAAGGGCCUUGUGCUUUAGGAGCGGCCGAUGUCCGAUUAGCUGGUUGGUGGGGUAACGGCCUACCAAGGCGACGAUCGGUAGCUGGUCUGAGAGGAUGAUCAGCCACACUGGGACUGAGACACGGCCCAGACUCCUACGGGAGGCAGCAGUGGGGAAUUUUGGACAAUGGGGGCAACCCUGAUCCAGCCAUGCCGCGUGCGGAAAGAAGGCCUUCGGGUUGUAAACCGCUUUUGGUCGGGAAGAAAGGGCGCCGGAUAAUACCUGGCGCUGUUGACGGUACCGGCAGAAUAAGCACCGGCUAACUACGUGCCAGCCGCCGCCGUAAUAC
rnacentral:rRNA from 1 species